rnacentral:lncRNA from 1 species
GAAACUUGCUUUAUUCAGCGUACACUUCCACAUUGUUAUUCAUCACCAGAGGAAUUCAGGACUGGAACCCAAGCAGGUCAGGAAGCUGGAGCUAAUACAGAGGCCAUGGAUUACUAGCUUGCUUCCCCUGGCUUACUCAGCUUGUUUCCUUAUAGAACCCAGGACCACCAGCCCAGGGAUGGGCCCAUAAUGGGCCCUCCCACCCUUGAUCACUAAUUGAGAAGAUACCUUACUGUUGGAUCUCAUGGAGGCAUUUCCUCAAGGGAGGCUCCUUUCUCUGUAAUAACUCCAGCUUAUGUCAAGUUGACACACAAAACCAGCCAGUACAGUAUGUACUUUGAGGCAGGAUGUCUACAAUGCUCUGGCUAGAAGAGUUUCUCUCUUCUUUGCCUCCCAAGUACUGAGAUUUAAAGGUAUACAUCACCAUGCCUGGCUCUUUUUUUGAAGAGGGUUUCUUUCACUAUGUAGCCUUGGCUGGCCUAGAACACAAUAUGUAGACCAAGCUGAACUCAAAUUCAUAGACAUUUGCCUGUGUCACCAUGAUCAGGCUUAUAUACAUUUAAUUUCUGAGACAGAGUUUUAUGUUGCUCAGGAUAGCCUUAAAAUCCAUAUGUAUUCAGAGUUUUAGCUUAAGUCCCAAUUCCCUUGCCUCUACCUGCAACAGAUGGAAUUAUGGGUAUAGGCCACCAACUUUUAGUAGUAGUAUAUUCUGUAUUGUUAGGCUUGAUUUAUGUGUCUAGUUUACUGAAUAAUUUUCAGGUUAUUUAAUUAUCUUUAAGUUUUUAGUAUUUAUUGAGGGAAACUAUGGGGCAAUGGGCUAUGCACAGACAGCCAGGUCUCCAGUUGAGCUGAGGCCUUGAACCCCGGUGGUACUUAAUGGGUGGUAAUUUCCACCUACAUGGGACAGAAGGCAUUCAAUCAAGUCUCCUGGACCCCUGGCUCUUGUCAAAGUUACUGCCCCCACAGCCCUCACAAGAGAAGCAUGUGGCUAACAGUCACAUAGCUUCUGGCAUUCUGGCUAGACUCCUCCCCACAGUUACCUAGCAACAGCAAGAUAGCAAAGCCCACUAUAAGAGGGGCUGCUUGGCCCCUCCUCACUCUCUUUAAGCUUUCACCUUUCUUACUCUCUAGCUCUUUUUUUUCUCUCUCUCUCUCUCUUUCCCCCUUCUCUCCUCUUGGCCAUGUCUGGUCUCUCUCUCCUUCCCCCUUCUCUCCUCUUGGCCAUGGCCGGUCUCUCUCUCUUUCUACCUUCUCUCUUUUCCCCUGUCUCUCUACAAAAAAAGCUCUAAGACCAUAGACUGUCUCUGUUCAUCAAGGCCCUCCAUGCUUGAACGAUGGGAUAGGCUUUCUCCUAAGGAGCCAUGCCUAAUCUCCCUAAACUACAGCCACCCCCCCGCCCCCCCUUCCUUUAUCUCCAGGACCGAGUGCUGCCCCAGGCCCCUAUUCUGUUCUCAUCUGCCCCAAUGUAUCCAGCGUGGAAUGCCGGAGGCUGAGAACCUGGUACCUGGGGCUACCCCUUGUCCACCACUCGCUGUGUAGGGUCAGUGGCUUUCCACAGCCAGAUGCCUAGUGUCUAGCAGUCCUCCCGCUUCUGCCCGUCCAGAGUUCUGGAACUCUGUCAGGACACGAGCAUUCUCUCCCACUGCCCUCUUCCCACACAACCACGGCUCCACAGGAAACCUUUGCCACAGCAUUUGGGUGGAAAUACGUUCUGGGGGUUGAACUUGAGUCUUCAGGCAUGGCAGCCAGCUGAGUUACCUGCUGACUCAUCUUACUGGCCCUAUUUUUGGAUUUUAACUCUAUUUUCCAAAGUGUGAGUUAUUCCUUCCAAGUUGGUAGUACCUGCACAUAUGAGUGAUGUAUGUUCUUUAUAACUCUGUAUAAAUUGUCAGGUUUCAUCACUGAUACUGUUGCUUGAUUGAUUUGACUUUAUGAGACAGAGUGCCUCUGGUUGGCCAGGAAAUUUUUUUUGUAGCCCAGGCUAAUCUUGAUCUCCUAAUCCUCCAGCUUCGGCUUACAUAGUGCUGGUAUCAUAGGUGCACAGGGGCAGCAACUCCUUUCAGUAAGAGAGUCUUUAUAAAGUGAGGGUGGCUGGUUUGUCAUUAAGUACUUCAGCAGUGGAUAAAUCUACUUGGUGACCAUUGAGCUUUCACUCCACCCGUGUCCUAGGACACUGUGAGACUCUCUUUCGAUCCCUUUGUAAGAAUUCAGAGGAGGAGAAGGGAGCUGUCCGUACCUGGUGCUCAGUUCUCUAAUCUCAGUGCUUGAGAAGCUAAGCGCCAUACGGUUUUGGGGGUAGGGAGGGGACUGUCUAUCAUCUCAGCAGAUACAGAAACAAGGGGAUUUUGAAUUUGAGGCUAGUUAGGACUACAUAGUGAGUUCCAGGCCAGCCUGGGCUACCUAGCAAGAGCCUGUUUAUUGUGUGUUGAGAGAGAGAGAGAGACUCCUCCUUCAAAUUAAUCCUUCUUGUGACCCUGCUGCCUUUCUAACAGUAAACUCAGACUAGAAUUUGGAGCAGGAUCCCACAAAUAGUUAUGAAAUUGCACUUUAAACUGGGGUUAGCAAAAAAAGCAGAGACUAUGUGUAAUUUGAGUGAUCUUUGGAAACGUCCUGAUGACUCACAAAAUACAUCAGUGAUGGUGUGCCACGGGCAAUCUUUGGUCUUGUUUGUUCUGAUCUGCUUUGUUUAUUGAGACAAGGCCUCUCUAGAGAUCCCUGUCUGGUCUGGAAGUUGCUACGAAGGCCAGACUGGCCUCAGACUUUCAAACGUGUAUCAAUCCUCCUGCCUCUUUACUUCCCUGGUGAUGAUUACAGGCUUGUGCUACUAAGCUCAGCAACAGUAGUGAUCGUUUAAAACCUUUAGUCAGUGGUCAAAGAGAAUCACCAAGUGAAGGUUCAAAUAGCUGUCUGUCUGUCACUCAAUAGUUAAAGAAUUUCGCCAAAUCAUCUCUAGAAAUGAACCACACAAAAGUAAAGAAUUUCAAAGUACUGCCUUUUGUUAGGAAUGAUUCAUGUUGGCUUAAUUUGAAUCUUAAUUUUUUAAGAGAUUUAUUUAUUUUAAGUAUAUGAGUACACUGUAGCUGUACAGAUGUUUGUGAGCCUUCACAUGGUUUUUGGGAAUUGAAUUUCUAGGACCUCUGCUUGCUCUGGUUAACCCUGCUUGCUCCGGUCAGCCCUGCUUGCUCCAGCCCAAAGAUUUAUUUA